rnacentral:rRNA from 1 species
ACGCUGGCGGUGUGCCUCAUACAUGCAAGUCGAACGAGAAGAAAGAGCUUGCUCUUUCGGAAAGUGGCGGACGGGUGAGUACAACAUAGGAAAUCUGCCUUUAGGUGGGGGACAACAGAGGGAAACUUCUGCUAAUACCCCAUAUGAGCUAGCCUGAAAUGGCUAUCUUGAAAGUUCCGGCGCCUAAAGAUGAGCCUGUGCCUGAUUAGCUAGUUGGUGGUGUAAUGGGACUACCAAGGCGACGAUCAGUAGCUGGUUUGAGAGGAUGAUCAGCCACAAUGGGACUGAGACACGGCCCAUACUCCUACGGGAGGCAGCAGUAGGGAAUUUUGCGCAAUGGGCGAAAGCCUGACGCAGCAACACCGCGUGAAUGUUAAGCCCUUCGGGGUGUAAAGUUCUGUCAGUAGGGAAGAACAAAUGACUGUACCUACAAAGGAAGCACCGGCUAACUCCGUG